UACGUAGGGUGCGAGCGUUAAUCGGAAUUACUGGGCGUAAAGCGUGCGCAGGCGGUCCGUUGUGUCCGAUGUGAAAGCCCCGGGCUUAACCUGGGAAUGGCAUGGGAAACUGGCGGGCUGGAGUGUGGCAGAGGGGGGUGGAAUUCCGCGUGUAGCAGUGAAAUGCGUAGAGAUGCGGAGGAACACCGAUGGCGAAGGCAGCCCCCUGGGCCAACACUGACGCUCAGGCACGAAAGCGUGGGGAGCAAACAGG
rnacentral:rRNA from 1 species